rnacentral:lncRNA from 1 species
GGCGGAAGCUCAUUGCAGAGGACACACGCUGAGCGUUCAUCACUCCAUAAAGCUCCUCUGGGAAGGUCUGAGACAAGAGCCAAUAGCUUCUCCUGCAGGGCACCACCUGAUCAGGUGAGCGAGUGAACAGAAAACACGGGGCGCUGUGGACGGUCGUUGCAGGAGAAGCCUGGUGGCGUCGUGUCUCUGCGACCCGGUGGAUGUGACGCGCACCGCCUUGGAAUCGCUCUAUCUCUCUAUCUCUCUAUCGCUCCACACCUAUUAUUAUUAUAAUAAAACAACACACAGGACAGACAUUUAGCUAUUUGCU